rnacentral:rRNA from 1 species
ACAGAGGUCCCGAGCGUUGUUCGGAUUCACUGGGCGUAAAGGGUGCGUAGGUGGCGAUGAAAGUUCGAUGUGAAAUCUCCGGGCUUAACCCGGAAAAGGCAUUGAAAACUAUGUUGCUUGAGGUUUGGAGGGGGGACUGGAAUUCUUGGUGUAGCAGUGAAAUGCGUAGAUAUCAAGAGGAACACCAGUGGCGAAGGCGGGUCCCUGGACAACACCUGACACUGAGGCACGAAAGCUAGGGGAGCAAACAGGA